rnacentral:ncRNA from 1 species
GUCGUGAGACGUGGGAGAGAGGAAGCAAUAGCGAAUCCGCGGCCCUACGCACAGGAACCUGAUACAAAGGCGUUUCAAGCGGAUGAGGAGGCACAAGGCGUCAAAGUCCCAAAACGCAAUCGUAACCUUGAGGCGUGGAUCAGGAUGGUAACCGGGGAAAGAUUU